rnacentral:rRNA from 1 species
AACGGCCGCAGUACUUUGACUGUGCUAAGGUAGCAAAAUAAAUAGGCUUAUAAUUAAGGUCGAGUAUGAAUGGCAUUAUGGGUGAUAGCUGUCUCAUGGUACUAAAAAUUAAUUUAUUUAGUAGGUGAAAAUACCUACACCAAAAAAUUAGACGAGAAGACCCUUAGAGUUUUUAAUAAGCAACUUGUAUAAGGUUUUUCUUUUUUGUUGGGGCGACACAGUAUCAAGUAACAUACUUACUCAUUUAAGUUACUAAUCUAUAAAUAUAGGUGCACACAACUACCUAAGGGAUAACAGCAUAAUUUUCUUUAAAGAUUGUGACCUCGAUGUUGGACUAGGGACUGGGAAUGUUAGUCACAUA